rnacentral:rRNA from 1 species
GACGAACCGUGCGAACGUUGUUCGGAAUCACUGGGCUUAAAGGGCGCGUAGGCGGUGUGUUAAGUCGGUGGUGAAAUACUUCGGCUCAACCGGAGAAUUGCCGCUGAAACUGGCACGCUCGAGGGAGGUAGAGGUGCGUGGAACUUCCGGUGGAGUGGUGAAAUACGUUGAUAUCGGAAGGAACGCCUGUGGCGAAAGCGAUGCACUGGACCUCUUCUGACGCUGAGGCGCGAAAGCUAGGGUAGCGAACGGGAUUAGAAACCCUCGUAGUC